rnacentral:rRNA from 1 species
AAGUCGAACGCAGUAGCAAUACUGAGUGGCAAACGGGUGAGUAUAAUGUGGGUAUCUGCCUUUUGGUUUGGAAUAACACGGGGAAACUUGUGCUAAUACCAAAUAAGCCCUCACGGGGAAAGUUUUAACGCCGAAAGAUGAGCCCGCACUUGAUUAGCUAGUUGGUAAGGUAAAAGCUUACCAAGGCAAUGAUCAAUAGCUGUUCUUAGAGGAAGACCAGCCACAUUGGGACUGAGACACGGCCCAGACUCCUACGGGAGGCAGCAGUGGGGAAUCUUGCACAAUGGGGGAAACCCUGAUGCAGCGAUGCCGCGUGAGUGAAGAAGGCCUUUGGGUUGUAAAACUCUUUCGUCGGGGAAGAAAAUGACUGUACCCGAAUAAGAAGGUCCGGCUAACUUCGUGCCAGCAGCCGCGGUAAUACGAAGGGACCUAGCGUAGUCCGGAAUUACUGGGCUUAAAGAGCUCGUAGGUGGUUAAAAAAGUUGAUGGUGAAAUCCCAAGGCUCAACCUUGGAACUGCCAUCAAAACUUUUUAGCUAGAGUGUGAUAGAGGUAAGUGGAAUUUCUAGUGUAGAGGUGAAAUUCGUAGAUAUUAGAAAGAACACCC